rnacentral:rRNA from 1 species
UUAAGCCAUGCGAGUCGAACGAGUUUAGGCUCGUAGCGUACGGCUCAGUAACACGUGGAUAACCUACCCUUAGGACUGGGAUAACCCUGGGAAACUGGGGAUAAUACUAGAUAGGCAAUUUUUCCUGGAAUGGUUUUUUGUUUAAAUGUUUUUUCGCCUAAGGAUGGGUCUGCGGCCGAUUAGGUAGUUGGUUAGGUAACGGCUUACCAAGCCAUUGAUCGGUACGGGUUGUGAGAGCAAGAGCCCGGAGAUGGAACCUGAGACAAGGUUCCAGGCCCUACGGGGUGCAGCAGGCGCGAAACCUCCGCAAUGUGAGAAAUCGCGACGGGGGGAUCCCAAGUGCCAUUCUUAACGGGAUGGCUUUUCAUUAGUGUGAAGAGCUUUUGGAAUAAGGGCUGGGCAAGACCGGUGCCAGCCGCCGCGGUAA